AGGGGAUAAAAUGUAGUGCAUGUAGCAGUUGAAACAAUUAUAACUGUUAUUGUGCAUGGAUGAACUUCGAGGAAGUGUGAAUAGAGAACCUUUUGUGCUUGUGAACUAAAUGGUUGAGAUUAUUAAGACCUAAAAGUUCAUUACCAAAAAGUAUCUAAUUGUUAUAGUAAUUAGCUUUACGUUUCAUUUAGCAUUGCAGGUUCGGUGGACCUCGGAGGAGAGGAAGUGGUCCUUGUAUUUUACUCUUUUGUAGAAAUAAAAAAGCCUUUGAGUAGUUACUGAGCUACUUAUUGGUUCUUGGAAGAGCACUCACAUCCUUUUAUUUUCAUGGAGAUCACAAAUGACCUUUUAAU
rnacentral:lncRNA from 1 species